rnacentral:lncRNA from 1 species
CACAUGUCAUCUAUGCCAACAUCUCCCCACCGUAUCUCCAGAAUAGUAGUCGCAGCAAUUGAUAUAAAAAGUGCCAUGAACACAAUGCUAGCAUAGUUGGUAAGCUGCAGACAGUAAAGAAUAGUCAGCAAAAACACAUUAGAUGAGUCCUGUUAUUAAAUUUUACAGGAACUGAAGAUAGUGAAAUCAAAGAAUAGUCAGCAAAAAUACAUUAGAUGAGUCCUGUUAUUAAAAUUUUACAGGAACUGAAGAUGGUGAAAUUUCAAGUAGGCGUCCCUAAUACACAGACGUCAGAAAUUGGAAUCAUGGUUUAAAUGACAGAUCAAAUAGCAUGUGAAUAUGGGGGAUGGGAAGCCAACAGUUGUCAUGCUGUUUAUUGAAAGAACUUCCCAGUUUGAGAUUUAGUAAUUCGUGUAUGUCAUACAUCAAACGAAAUAUAGCACUUCAUGUUAGAUACUAUUUUGAUAGAAAUCAAUUAAGGGAGUUCAAACAUUCAAUAUGCAUUGAUAUUUUCAGAACAGAGGUUUAUGUGACAGAACUUAAGAUAAACAGUUGAUGCAACAUGACCAAAUGAAUAACAAGGAAACAAUGAAGGGGAAGCCUUAC